CCCUUAGAGUUUGAUCCUGGCUCAGGACGAACGCUGGCGGCGUGCCUAAUACAUGCAAGUCGAGCGAGCGGAACUAACAGAUUUACUUCGGUAAUGACGUUAGGAAAGCGAGCGGCGGAUGGGUGAGUAACACGUGGGGAACCUGCCCCAUAGUCUGGGAUACCACUUGGAAACAGGUGCUAAUACCGGAUAAGAAAGCAGAUCGCAUGAUCAGCUUUUAAAAGGCGGCGUAAGCUGUCGCUAUGGGAUGGCCCCGCGGUGCAUUAGCUAGUUGGUAAGGUAAAGGCUUACCAAGGCGAUGAUGCAUAGCCGAGUUGAGAGACUGAUCGGCCACAUUGGGAAUGAGACACGGCCCAAACUCCUACGGGAGGCAGCAGUAGGGAAUCUUCCACAAUGGA
rnacentral:rRNA from 1 species